rnacentral:rRNA from 1 species
GCUUACAGUUAUACCACCUUGAAUGCGUCUGAUGUCGGAAGCUAAGCAGGGUCAGGCCUGGUUAGUACUUGGAUCGGUGACCGCCUGGGAAUACCGGGUGCUGUAAGCU